GGAAGACAGGAGUCAUAGGAAGACAGGUGCUCUGGGUACAGGUGCUGGGGAAGAGAGUCAGGAAGACAGGAGUAUAGGAAGCAGGGCUAAGACAGGAGUCAUAGGAAACAGGUGUCAUAGGAAGACAGGUGUCAUAGGAGACAGGUGUCAUAGGAAGACAGGAGUCAUAGGAAGACAGGUGUCAUAGGAAGACAGGUGUCAUAGGAAGACAGGUGUCAUAUGAAGACAGGUGUGUGCUGGGUACAGGUGUCAUAUGAAGACAGGUGUCAUAUGAAGACAGGUGUCAUAUGAAGACAGGUGUGCUCUGGGUACAGGUGUCAUAGGAACACAGGUGUCAUAUGAAGACAGGUGUGUUGGUGAUACAGUGGUGAGCUGCGUACAUGUAUUAGCUUUUAGCCAUCUCCAUGUGUCUGCUAAGUGACAGCUUCUCACAGGUAGCCAAUAAGAUAGAUGAAAUACAUUAUAUGUCCUAUAAGGCUUUUAUAACUACUUUAUAAGGCUUUUAUAAGUACUUUACAUGGCUUUUAUAAAUACUUUAUUU
rnacentral:lncRNA from 1 species